rnacentral:lncRNA from 1 species
UUCCUCUUUCGCCACAGCACGGGUCUUCUUGUUUCCGUUUUUGUUUUUCUUUCUUAUUUUCUCUUUUAUUCCAUUGUACAAAAUAAUUUUAUAUAUGAUCUUAAAACAUUCUUCUAAACUACAAAUGCAUAAAUGUCUGUGAACAGCAUGUGCUUUUGCAGGAAGGACGUUGGACUCUUGCACUAUAAGUUAAAAACAUCGCUUAUAAACAAUACAUCGCAGCACACUUGCAGAGAGAGCACUGUAGGUGCAUGGUCCUCAGGACCUGGGAGGCACAUUGGACAUCACUUCAACAGCGUUUCUAAGGUUCAUCAAAAUAAGAUAUGA